ACGAAAACUGACAAAACAACUUCAAGUACAUGUACUUUUAUAUUUUCAUUAAUUAUAAUAAUAAUAUAUAAUAAUAUAAAGAUAAUCUUGAAAAAUGUAAAAAUUAGUGGUGGGACUUUAACACGUCAAUCACGAUCAAUUAAUUACAAAAAAGAAUAGUGCAUGAAAAAUAUUCACGCUUUCCAAACAAACGCGGAUUUUCUGUCUGUCGUACAUGAUUUCGUGGUACCGAUUUUACUGACGCACGCGUCAGAGCUUGGAUAACCAUAUUUCUCACGGCUAACACAAUGGAGGAAUUGGAGGAAGCACUGUUGGGGGGGAAAAUUAAUAAAUAAAUAAAACUACCCAAUGGAAGUUGCACUAAAGCCUGGUUUUGUGCAGAUUAUGCAAAAAUGAGUUAGUUUACCAUUGAAGCACUUCAACCCUCCAGUACCAUCGAAAUGCAAAGCAUGUCGGAGCAAGCAUAGAAACAGCCGGAGCUAUUAGCGCUAGCAGUCACGCUCUGAGUUCUAAGAGUUGUCAGCAAAUCAAACGCCAGCAAAGUGACCAGAUUCAGGACCAAAACUAGUAAGUCAGCUUCAGAGAAAAUCACAAAUUCACUGGCAAAGUAGAUUGCUCUGGACUGCAGACCCCUAUUAGUAGUAAAAGACAAAGGAUUAGAAAAUGACCUACAGAUAGCAACAUGCGAUCCAAAUUUUCAACUACCAUGCAGAAAGACUAUUUCAGGCAAAAUUCAACUAAAAAUCAAGCAAAAUUGGAUGCAUUGCAGAAAGCUCAAUGUGUGGCUCUGACUGGGUACCAUUGGACCUCUGCUAGUUAUACAAAUUACAUCAGCGUCACUGCACACAUUGCUGAUGUCAUAGACAUGACGUGGGUUCUACAGUCUUUUGCUCUGGCUGUGCAGAAGACAGUCACCAAACCCAGUGCUGGAAACUGCGUGGAGGAUUUUCUCUCUGUGUCAAAGGAAUGGGGAAUUCUACAAAACGUAACAACAAUUAGCAGACAGUGCACGAACAAUGAUAGCUGCAGGAAGAGACCUCCCAUUUCAACACAUGCCUUGUAUUACGCACAUCUUCUCAAGAGCCAUCACUGUUAGCCUUGCUGAUAGAGGGUUUUGUGAUGCAUUAGUAAAAUGUCACAAGAUAGUGGGUCACUUUAAACACAGCCCUGCUAAUACAGAGGAACUACACCAGGAGCAAUCAAGACUGGGGCAAGAAAACGAGUCACUCAUGCAGGAUGUAGCCACAAGGUGGAAUUCAACGCUGGAAAUGAUUUCUUGUCUAGGGAAGAAUCUAGAGGCUGUUUUUGCCGCUUUAGACAGACAGAAUUACAAUCAAGUCAUAUUAACUCCAUCAGAGUUCCUAAAACUACAAAAGCUGGUGACUGUCCUUGACCCAUGCAGAUUUGUGACUGAACUCCUUGGAGGUUCUCAUGUUCAGUGGUUUUACCUUCUCUCCGCCACCUGUACCGCAACAUGGAGGUCUCUGAUGAUGACCCCACCCACACUGUGAAAUUCAAGACUGCCUUCACAAAGGACUUAUCACAACGUGUAGCUACACUCAAACUUGAAUGGCUCAAGAUGGGCACUGUGUUUGACCCUCCCUUUAAGGAUUUAAAAUGCCUUGCAAGGGGAGAGCGAGCAGAGAUGUGGACCAGCCUCGGGGCCCUACUGCAGGAACAUUGUUAAGGAUACCGCCACACAGGAGCCAGCAAAGAAAAAGAGAUUCUUUUUCUCUUCAGUUUCUUCAGACUCUGAUUCAGAUGUGGAAGCCCUGUGUAGCAGGGCCCUGAAUUUGUACAGAGCAGAAUCCAUUAUCAGCGAAACAGACUGUCCACUGCAGUGGUGGUCCAGUCGAGUAGGGACUCAUCCACAUCUACCUGUCCUGGCCCGGAAGUAUCUGAUUAGCCCUGCCACUUCUGUACCAUGAGAGAGGUUGUUCUCACUUGCAAGUCUCACAGGGUAAAUGUAAAUGUAAAUUCACUCCAAGCGCACUCUCUACACUCCGGAAAGUUUAGAAACUCGGAGCGCACUCCCGCCGCUCUGACUGAGGAGACAGAGCGGCCGGAGCGUCGGGCAGGAUGAGAUGUUUACAGGCAGAACUGACACAGUCAAUAUGAUGGAUGCACUGACGUAUCCCUGCCGAUGGCCAACAUACUCGCUCGUAAAUUCAUAAAACAGCUCUGGUAAUGUGAACAGGCCUAGUUUGUCUUCGCAACUAGUUGAAAGAAAGGAAGUAGUGCUGGAGGUAUUGAGAGGCCAAUGGCUUUGCUGUUUUUUUUUUGCACUACAAUGUUCAGAAUGUUAUGGCCUCAUGUACAAAAUGGUGUUUGCUAAGGGUGCUUGGAGUUUUAGGCCUUUCGAAUGACCAUUUACAUUUCUUGUUGUUUUAACAGAAAAAAUUGAGCACUUAUGUUGAAAUUGUUGUGGGUUUUUUAACCAUUUCGGCAAAAAUGUGCUCAAAAAUGGCACUUUAACUUGGAAAAAAAAAUAAAAAAUCCUGAAAUGGCCUAUUGAAUUUUGACAAGGAAAUAUAUAGUUUUAUUUUUAUUUUUUACUGUUUUUGUACGGUUUUGUAUUGAAAUAAAAUUAAAUGCAUUUUUCGAGCAUU